rnacentral:rRNA from 1 species
UACGUAGGCAGCGAGCGUUGUUCGGAGUUACUGGGCGUAAAGAGUGCGUAGGCGGUUUUCUAAGUUUGGUGUGAAAUCUCCCGGCUUAACUGGGAGGGUGCGCCGAAGACUGGAAGGCUUGAGUAUGGGAGAGGUAAGCGGAAUUCCUGGUGUAGCGGUGAAAUGCGUAGAUAUCAGGAGGAACACCUGCGGUGUAGACGGCUUACUGGACUAUCACUGACGCUGAGGCACGAAAGCGUGGGUAGCAAACAGG